GAGUCGUUAGCUUAAUGUAGAGCAGGACACUACAAAGGUCUCAGUGUUGGUUCAAAUCCAUCACGACUCACCA
rnacentral:tRNA from 2 species